GAUGAACGCUGGCGGCGUGCCUAAUACAUGCCAGUCGAGCGAACGGACGAGAAGCUUGCUUCUCUGAUGUUAGCGGCGGACGGGUGAGUAACACGUGGAUAACCUACCUAUAAGACUGGGAUAACUUCGGGAAACCGGAGCUAAUACCGGAUAAUAUUUUGAACCGCAUGGUUCAAAAGUGAAAGACGGUCUUGCUGUCACUUCUAGAUGGAUCCGCGCUGCAUUAGCUAGUUGGUAAGGUAACGGCUUACCAAGGCAACGAUGCAUAGCCGACCUGAGAGGGUGAUCGGCCACACUGGAACUGAGACACGGUCCAGACUCCUACGGGAGGCAGCAGUAGGGAAUCUUCCGCAAUGGGCGAAAGCCUGACGGAGCAACGCCGCGUGAGUGAUGAAGGUCUUCGGAUCGUAAAACUCUGUUAUUAGGGAAGAACAGAUGUGUAAGUAACUGUGCACAGCUUGACGGUACCUAAUCAGAAAGCCACGGCUAACUACGUG
rnacentral:rRNA from 1 species